UACGGAGGAUGCGAGCGUUAUCCGGAUUUAUUGGGUUUAAAGGGUGCGCAGGCGGCGUGUCAAGUCAGCGGUAAAAUGUCGGGGCUCAACCCCGGCCGGCCGUUGAAACUGGCGUGCUCGAGUUGGAGAGAAGUAUGCGGAAUUCGUGGUGUAGCGGUGAAAUGCAUAGAUAUCACGAGGAACCCCGAUUGCGAAGGCAGCAUACCGGCUCCACACUGACGCUGAGGCACGAAAGCGUGGGUAUCGAACAGG
rnacentral:rRNA from 1 species